AGUUUUCCACCUGAAGCAGCUCUGUGGUCUUCUCUGUGUUUCCAGUUUAAAAGAGACCCAGCCGGAGAAGGAGCACUGAGAGCAGCAUGGAGGAGAACAAAGAGACCCCUGGAGCUCAGAAACCGAAAAGAAGAGAGAGAUGUCACAGCUGUCAGCAAUGUGACAAAUCCUUCACAACAUCUGGAAGCUUAAAUUGCCACCUUCGUAUUCACACUGGAGAAAAACCGUACAGCUGUGAAGAGUGUGGGAAAACGUUCACUACAUCAGGUGCUCUCCAAUCACAUCAACUAUUCACAUGGGAGAAAAACCGUACAGCUGUGAAGAGUGUGGGACAACUUUCACUACAUCAGGUGAUCUAAAAAAAGAUCACCAUAUUCACACUGGAGAAAAACCGUACAGCUGUGAAGAGUGUGGGAAAACUUUCACUACAUCAGGUGAUCUCAAAAAACAUCACCUAUUCACACUGGAGAAAAACCCUACAGCUGUGAAGAGUGUGGGAAAACAUUCACCAGAUCAGAUGCUCUCAAAUCACAUCACCGUAUUCACACUGGAGAAAAACCCUACAGCUGUGAAGAGUGUGGGAAAACAUUCACCAGAUCAGAUGCUCUCAAAUCACAUCACCAUAUUCACACUGGAGAAAAACCGUAUUGGUGUGAAGAGUGUGGGAAAACUUUCAUUACAUCAGGUGGUCUCAAAUCACAUCUUCGUGUUCACCACACAGGAGAAACACCAUAGUGUUCAUUAAUCUGCCGAGUAGUUUCUCCAAUAAUCUGUUUGUUUAAUAAAAUGUUGUGACUUUAAACUUUGAUUGGGAUGUUUUUGAUAGUUCCUGUUGAGUUA